rnacentral:rRNA from 1 species
UGCAAGUCGAACGGCAGCACGGACUUCGGUCUGGUGGCGAGUGGCGAACGGGUGAGUAAUGUAUCGGAACGUGCCCAGUAGCGGGGGAUAACUACGCGAAAGCGUAGCUAAUACCGCAUACGCCCUACGGGGGAAAGCAGGGGAUCGCAAGACCUUGCACUAUUGGAGCGGCCGAUAUCGGAUUAGCUAGUUGGUGGGGUAACGGCUCACCAAGGCGACGAUCCGUAGCUGGUUUGAGAGGACGACCAGCCACACUGGGACUGAGACACGGCCCCAGACUCCUACGGGAAGGCAGCAGUGGGGGAUUUUGGGACAAUGGGGGAAACCCCUGAUCCAGCCAUCCCGGGUGGUGCGAUUAAGGGCCUUCGGUUGGAAAGCACUUUUGGCAAGAAAGAAACGUUCUGGGGUAAUAACCCGUGGAACUGAACGGUACUGGAGAAUAAGCACCGGCUAACUAACUGGGCACAGCCCGGUAAUAACUAAGUGGAAGCGUUAUC